GAGAAGACGUGUGGUGACUGUAGUCAUCAGUGUGCCAUGUGGGCAACAGAUACGGCCUUGCUUUGCUCAGCCACUGAGAUAUUGGGGUUCAAGAGACCAUGGCCAACUGGAUGAAUCCAGGGGAUCUGUGCUCUAUAAACCACCUUUGGAUGGAUCCAAGUUCAAUUUUGCAAAGUAAACCAGGUGAUGUCCUUGGAACUUGGUGACUCUCUGGGUGUAAAGUCCCAGUCCCAUGUGGGUCCCAGCAUCGGUGGUCUGGUUGCUGAUGAAGAUCAGACUCCAAGUCUAAAUUUUCUGGAGAUCUACACCUCCCAAAGGAGGCUGGUGAGUCCUGGGGUGGCCCUUGGAUAACUUCUGUGCAGUAGCAGCUGCUGGAAGACCGCAAAGAUCCCACAGGCUUCUGAUCAGAAGAGCACCGACUUGGUUGUCAGGGACCCUGGACAUGCCCUCCUGCCUGCCCUCACUGGGGCCUCCGUAGCUGCUGGGGAAAACUGCUUCCUAUCAUCACUCAGUGACUGGACAGCGCACUGGGCUCAGGAGAAUGUUACCUCAAUUUAAGCUGGAGGAAGUCACAUGGCAGAUGCCAGAGGACCAGCCUGGGAGAGGCUUUCUAGCAACCAGGACACCUGCCGCAGUGCCACGCUUUCUCCAGGAAACAAGGACAGCUGCACGGGUGCCCACACGAGAGUCGGCGACCAGCCUCGGCGGUGGGGUUCCUGCAACGCGUGUUCCUGCUGGGGUUCUCCUUUCUGCUGUUCCGAGCUACAGUGCGGAUCAUGCUCCCCAUACGUGGAGUCCAGGGACAGCACAGCCCGGGGACUGCCCAGCCAGCCAGGAAGUCUGGCUUUCAGAGAACUGGGAAGACCAUCUUCCACUUUAUCCCAUCUGGGAGACUGUAAACAUGGAUUCCACUGUCUCGGACAGUGAGACGAUUCCCAGUCUUUUCCUGUUCCUCCUCUAGAUGCUGUCUUGGACGCAGUGAAGUCUGCCGAUGGCUGUUUCAGAGCCGUUAGGAUGGUGAAGUGAGACAAUGUGAAUGGAGUGUUUUGUGAGGCUCAGUGCUGCAUAAAUGCUAGCCAUU
ensembl:lncRNA FAM87A family with sequence similarity 87 member A